rnacentral:tRNA from 1 species
GGGUCGCUAGCUCAACUGGCAGAGCAUCCGACUGAGUAGCGCGUCCGCCCUCCGCUGCGGCGGCCAUGGGUGCGCUUCCUUCUCCUUGUUGGAUCGGAAGGUUCGGGGUUCGAGUCCCCGGCGACCCA